GUACCCCCUUUGGCAGUACACAUACUAAAAUUGGAACGAUACAGAGAAGAUUACCAUGGCCCCUGCGCAAGGAUGACACGCAAAAUCGUGAAGCUUUCCACAUAUAA